CCUUGGCACUCCGCAGGCUGCACUCGGCGUCUCGGCCGCCGCCUCUGAUCCUCUCUCGGUCUCUCCUUCCCGCCAUCCCAUCGUAGCACACAAACCGUCCCUCCAGGGUCCAAGCUCGACUUCACCUCCGAAAUCCCAGCGCGCUAGCUGCCUGCGUACACAAACUGCUCUUCUGUCUUCUCCCCAACCCACCCAUCAGUCCAUCACCCAUGCCAUGCGUUAUCUCUACUUCCGCCCCAACACAACAAGUCGGGCGCGCGCCUGCCGCGACAGCCUUCUCGCCCACCUCGACGCCUGCGCCUCGCGGGCCAACUUAGCGGAGCUUCAUGGGCGGCUCGUCCGCGCGCACCUCGGCUCCGAUCCAUGCGUGGCCGGCCGGCUCGUCACCCUCCUUGCAUCCCCUGUGUCGAGGCAUGACAUGCCUUACGCGCGCAAAGUGUUCGACAGAAUGGCCCAACCAACCGCCAUCGUCUGGAACUGCAUGAUUCGAGGGUAUAACAGUUGUCACGCCCCUAUGGAUGCGCUGGAGUUGUUCAGGGCAAUGCGUCGGAGCGGAGUGUCCCCUGAUAAUUACACGAUGGCCGCUGUUGCACAAUCGAGUGCUGCAUUUGCUAGCUGGAAGGGGAGGGCAACUGGGGACGCAGUCCACGCCUUGGUUCAAAGGAUUGGGUUUGCAUCCGAUCUGUUCGUCAUGUCAGGCCUUAUUAAUUUCUAUGGUGCUUCCAAAAGUGUUGAAGAUGCAAGGAAGGUUUUUGAGGAAAUGCACGAGCGGGAUGUGGUGUCUUGGACGUUGAUGAUCUCAGCUUUUGCACAGUGUGGUCAGUGGGAUAAUGUGUUGAGGUCACUUGACGAGAUGCAAUCAGAAGGCACUAAGCCUAACAAGAUCACGAUUAUAAGUCUCCUUUCUGCGUGUGGCCAAGUGCGGGCUGUGGACAAAGGCCUGUGGGUGUAUGCACGGGUUGAUGAAUAUGGCAUUGAGGCUGAUGUUGAUAUCAGGAAUGCACUCAUAGGCAUGUAUGUGAAAUGUGGAUGCAUGUCUGAUGCAUGGAAAACAUUUAAAGGCAUGCCUAUAAGAAAUACUAAAUCUUGGAACACUUUGAUUGAUGGGUUUGUGCAAAAUGGGAAGCAUAAAGAAGCACUAACAAUGUUUGAAGAGAUGUUAUCAGAUGGUGUAAUACCUGAUGUGAUUACUCUCGUUAGUGUCUUAUCGACAUAUGCUCAACUUGGUGAUCUUCAACAAGGGAGAUAUUUGCACAAUUAUAUCAAAGAUCAUGAGAUCCACUGCGACAUUAUCCUUCAAAAUUCUUUAAUCAACAUGUAUGCCAAAUGUGGUGAUAUGGCUGCAGCUGAAAUCAUUUUUGAAAAUAUGGCACGGAGGGAUAUCGUGUCCUGGACAGCUAUGGUUUGUGGUUAUGUGAAAGGACUUCAAUUUAGAACAGCAUUUAACUUAUUUGACGAUAUGAAGGUUCGAGAUGUUAUGGCAAGUGAAAUGGCACUGGUUAGUCUACUUUCUGCUUGUUCACAGCUUGGAGCACUUGAUAAAGGAAGAGAGAUACACUCUUAUAUAAAAGAAAAGAGCGUCAGAACAGAUAUGUGGCUUGAAAGUGCCCUGGUCGAUAUGUAUGCAAAAUGUGGAUGCAUCGAUGCAGCAGCUGAAAUAUUCAGUAGAAUGCGGCACAAGCAAACCCUCGCAUGGAACGCUAUGAUUGGAGGUCUUGCAAGCCAGGGACAGGGAAAAGAAGCAGUUGCGCUCUUUGAACAAUUGCUGAAGUUAAGAGAUCCAAAACCUGAUGCCAUUACUCUGAAGGUAGUUCUUUGUGCCUGCACACAUGUAGGAAUGGUUGAUGAGGGGCUCCAUUACUUCAAUUUGAUGUUGACCCUUGGCAUUGUCCCUGAUAAUGAGCAUUAUGGUUGCAUAGUGGAUCUCCUGGGUAGAGCCGGGCUGCUAGACGAAGCUUAUAAUUUUAUCCAGAAGAUGCCGAUACAGCCCAAUCCUGUAAUUUGGGGAUCACUUCUUGCAGCGUGUAGAGUUCAUCACAGGAUGGAACUAGGAAAAAUAAUUGGACAGCACAUCAUCGAUUUAGCUCCUAAUGAUGUGGGAGCACAUGUGCUAAUCUCAAACUUACACGCCGAAGAAGGUCAGUGGGAUGAUGUAGAGCAAGUAAGAGGGAUGAUGGGAAGCAGGCGUGUAGAGAAGUCACCUGGUCACAGCUCCAUACAAGUUUAGACAUGCUUCAUACUUCAUCAUUAUGUUUCUUUAGAUGAAAAGGGCAUCUCCUGUGUUCCAUUUAUUGAAAAACGACAAACCAAACAAUCAUCGUUCAGCAGUUCAACACAUGAAAGGCCCUAACAGCCAAGCAAAAAGGGAAAAACUAAACCAGCUGCACCAAGCCACUCAGAGGAACAUCCAUGACUCACGCCAGAGGAAACAGAAAAACAGUGCCUUAGUGGUUCCAAGGGAUCCAAGCAUCCAGCCCCAGAAGAUGGCCUCAAAGAAAGCAGCUGAAGUUACUGGACUGUGCGGCUACAGGUUGCAGCUGAAGGCACCAUGAGAGUAUACUUUAUCUCUUCCGUAGGAAUCCAAAUGUUGCAGUCAUGUUAUUCCGUUUUCUGUGGCUCACCCCAUCCUUGUACUGUUGCACAGGCCUGCAGUUCAAUUUUCUCUGUGCAGUGGAAAAAGGCUCAAGAAAUCAACCAGCAGAUUGAAACAAGGUAUCAUCGCUAGCCUAACUGACCAAGAAUCACUCAUAUAUGCCGCACAAGGACAUCGCAAGUGAAGCAAGCCAUCACCGGGCUGAAGCUGUGAAGCAACAACGUCGUUGCUGAAGCAUGGCGUCGUCGAAGAUGACCUGCCUGUUUUUGUCGUUUCGUUCGUGGCUUUUGACUUAUUUUAAGCUGUUGUCGCCAGCAUUUUGCUUUGUUUACCGCAUAAGAUUGUGUCCCCAGCACUACUUGCUCCCCCUCGUGGUUUGUAAUUCUGAAUACUGGUCUUGUUGAAAGCUGUUUUGAAUGAUUUUUGUCUUUGAUGAAAUAGUAUGACAUGGAACAGUAAUUAA